rfam:Verticillium dahliae VdLs.17 supercont1.14 genomic scaffold, whole genome shotgun sequence.
GUUUCGAUAGCUCAGGGGUAGAGCAAUCGGCUGCAGUCCGAUAGGUCAGGCGUUCAAAUCGCCUUCGAAACU